rnacentral:rRNA from 1 species
UACGUAGGGUGCAAGCGUUACUCGGAAUUACUGGGCGUAAAGCGUGCGCAGGCGGCUUCGCAAGACAGAUGUGAAAUCCCCGGGCUCAACCUGGGAACUGCAUUUGUGACUGCAUGGCUGGAGUGCGGCAGAGGGGGAUGGAAUUCCGCGUGUAGCAGUGAAAUGCGUAGAUAUGCGGAGGAACACCGAUGGCGAAGGCAAUCCCCUGGGCCUGCACUGACGCUCAUGCACGAAAGCGUGGGGAGCAAACAGG